GAUGAACGCUGGCGGCGUGCUUAACACAUGCAAGUCGAACGAAGCACCUCUCCCGAUGAUUGACACAGCUUGCUGUAGAUUGAUUCAUUUGAGGUGACUGAGUGUCGGACGGGUGAGUAACGCGUGGGUAACCUGCCUCACUGAGGGGGACAACAGUUGGAAACGACUGCUAAUACCGCAUAGUAAGAAGAAUUCGCAUGUUUUCUUCUUGAAAGAUUUAUCGCUAUGAGAUGGACCCGCGUCUGAUUAGCUAGUUGGUAAGGUAACGGCUUACCAAGGCGACGAUCAGUAGCCGGGUUGAGAGAGUGAACGGCCACAUUGGGACUGAGACACGGCCCAGACUCCUACGGGAGGCAGCAGUGGGGAAUAUUGCACAAUGGGGGAAACCCUGAUGCAGCGACGCCGCGUGAGUGAAGAAGUAUUUCGGUAUGUAAAGCUCUAUCAGCAGGGAAGAUAAUGACGGUACCUGACUAAGAAGCCCCGGCUAACUACGUG
rnacentral:rRNA from 1 species